AUUGAACGCUAACGGCAUGCUUAACACAUGCAAGUCGAACGGCAGCACGGUAGUAGCAAUACUAUGGGUGGCGAGUGGCGGACGGGUGAGUAAUACAUAGGAAUCUGCCUUGUAGUGGGGGAUAACCCGGGGAAACUCGGGCUAAUACCGCAUAAUCUUUACGAAGCAAAGUGGGGGACCUUCGGGCCCUACGCUAUAAGAUGAGCCUAUGUCGGAUUAGCUAGUUGGUGGGGUAAAGGCCUACCAAGGCAACGAUCCGUAGCUGGUCUGAGAGGAUGAUCAGCCACACUGGGACUGAGACACGGCCCAGACUCCUACGGGAGGCAGCAGUGGGGAAUAUUGGACAAUGGGCGAAAGCCUGAUCCAGCAAUGCCGUGUGUGUGAAGAAGGCCUUCGGGUUGUAAAGCACUUUUAGUGGGGAAGAAAAGUUCAUGGCUAAUAUCCAUGAAUGCUGACGUUACCCACAGAAAAAGCACUGGCUAACUCUGUGCCAGCAGCCGCCGUAAAAC
rnacentral:rRNA from 1 species